CCCUUAGAUGUUCUGGGCCGCACGCGUGCUACACUGAGUGGAUCAGCGGGUCAGGUUGCGCGAAAGCGUUUCCUAAUCUUUAAAUCCGCUCGUGAUGGGGAUUGACGGUUGCAAUUUUCUGUCAUGAACGAGGAAUACCUUGUAAGCGCGGGUCAUCAUCCCGCGCUGAAUACGUCCCUGCCCUUUGUACACACCGCCCGUCGCUCCUACCGAUUGAGUGGUCCGGUGAGGCUUUGGGAUCUGAGCGGAAAGAGCGUUUCGCUGUUUCUGCUCGCAAAACUCAGUCGAACCUUAUCAUUUAGAGGAAGGAGAAGUCGUAACA
rnacentral:rRNA from 1 species